rnacentral:rRNA from 1 species
UACGUAGGGGCGAGCGUUGUCCGGAGUUACUGGGCGUAAAGGGCAUGCAGGCGGUCCGACACGUUUUGUGUGACAGCGGGUGGCUUAACUACCCGAGGAUGCGAAAGACGGUUGGACUUGAGGACUCGAGAGGGACACGGAAUUCCGGGUGGAGUGGUGAAAUGCGUAGAGAUCCGGAGGAACACCGAAGGCGAAGGCAAGUGUCCUGGCGAGUGACUGACGCUGAGGUGCGAAAGCCAGGGGAGCGAACGGG